ensembl:lncRNA
ACGGAGGACAUCAGGUGGGUGUUGGGUAGAACCACUAGGUCCUGGAGAACAGGUAACAGAGGACAUCAGGUGGGUGUUGGGCAGAGCCCCUAGGUCCUGGAGGACAUCAGGUGGGUGUUGGGCAGAGCCCCUAGGUCCUGGAGGACAUCAGGUGGGUGUUGGGCAGAGCCCCUAGGUCCUGGAGGACAUCAGGUGGGUGUUGGGCAGAGCCCCUAGGUCCUGGAGGACAUCAGGUGGGUGUUGGGCAGAGCCCCUAGGUCCUGGAGAACAGGUAACGGAGGACAUCAGGUGGGUGUUGGGCAGAACCCCUAGGUCCUGGAGAACAGGACAUCAGGGGUGGGUGUUGGGCAGAACCCCUAGGUCCUGGAGAACAUCAGGUGGGUGUUGGGCAGAACCCCUAGGUCCUGGAGAACAGGUAAUGGAGGACAUCAGGUGGGUGUUGGGCAGAACCCCUAGGUCCUGGAGAACAGGUAACGGAGGACAUCGGUGGAUCUGGGUGUUGGGUUGAACCCCCUAGGUCCUGGAGAACAUCAGUUGGGUUUGGGUGUUGGGCAGAACCCCCUAGGUCCUGGAGAACAUCAGUUGGGUCUGGGUGUUGGGUUGAACCCCCUAGGUCCUGGAGAACAUCAGUUGGGUCUGGGUGUUGGGCAGAACCCCCUAGGUCCUGGAGAACAUCAGGUGGGUGUUGGGCAGAACCCCCUAGGUCCUGGAGAACAGGUAAUGGAGGACAUCAGGUGGGUGUUGGGCAGAACCCCUAGGUCCUGGAGAACAGGUAACGGAGGACAUCGGUGGAUCUGGGUGUUGGGUUGAACCCCCUAGGUCCUGGAGAACAUCAGUUGGGUUUGGGUGUUGGGCAGAACCCCCUAGGUCCUGGAGAACAUCAGUUGGGUCUGGGUGUUGGGUUGAACCCCCUAGGUCCUGGAGAACAUCAGUUGGGUCUGGGUGUUGGGCAGAACCCCUAGGUCCUGGAGAUCAAGAGCAGAGUUAGAGGUUAGGAGACAGACGUCAACAAGCAAACACACAGUUUACACUUUACUGGGAGAACAUUUUGAUGGAUUAGUGCAGUGUUAUAAAUGGGAGAUAUUUACUUUUCAACACUUGGAUGGUACAGCCUACCUCAAGCUGGUCCCCCUCUGACUCCGAGCACAGAUAAUCAGACUGAUCUGAACUCACUGGUUCUGGUGGAUGGGAUACUUCCUAGGGAGCUCAGACAGUUAAUGGUCCUCAAGUCAUUUGGAGGUAAAUUGAGGGACAUUUUUUUAAGCUCAGCAUAACUACCAUUUCUUUCUUUCUCAAAUGUCAACCAAAGCUUAACACACUAUCUAUUGGGCUUCACUGAAGUGUAGGGCAUCAGGGCUUUCAGUGGUCGACCGUCCAACUCCAGCAUGUAAAUCCUGGUGGGGCAUAGGAGGGGGACAGUUUUUAGAUGCAUGCCAGCAAAGCCGAUGCACAACACUAAACAAUACAUUAAUUGCACUAUAAUGUUGACAAGGGGGGGCCACAAACUGUUAGGGACUAUAUCAAUCUGUCCCAAAACCUUACCACUGCUACACCUGACUAUCAGCGGAGCCUUGUCUGGCAGCGAAACGGUUCAUUCAUCCUGUUGGAUUCGUGGUAAACUUUGAACAUUGAGAUAUUAAAGACAUGAUAGAUCAGACGCAUAGUGUAUAAAAAGAGACUGGGUUUAUGCCAGAAGGUAAUGGGUCUCCGUAGAAAGACCGAUGGCUUUGGAAUGUGUUGGGUGGAUGGGAGGAGAUCACAGGAUUGCUAUAAGGGAAGCGGAUGGACAUCUGUGGAUUAGGCGAAGGAGGGGUUGAGGUCAAGAGGUCAGAUCACCUGAAGGGAGUAAUAAGGGUUUAGUAUCCCAUUUCCCUCAUCCUGUGGAACCAUAAGAUGUAAGGAUUGGAGAGAAGGAGUGUCCA